rnacentral:rRNA from 1 species
UAGGGAAUCUUCGGCAAUGGGGGGAACCCUGACCGAGCAACGCCGCGUGAGUGAAGAAGGUUUUCGGAUCGUAAAGCUCUGUUGUUAAGGAAGAACGAGUGUGAGAAUGGAAAGUUCAUACUGUGACGGUACUUAACCAGAAAGGGACGGCUAACUACGUGCCAGCAGCCGCGGUAAUACGUAGGUCCCGAGCGUUGUCCGGAUUUAUUGGGCGUAAAGCGAGCGCAGGCGGUCAAUUAAGUCUGAUGUGAAAGCCCCCGGCUAAACCGGGGAGGGUCAUUGGAAACUGGUUGACUUGAGUGCAGAAGAGGAGAGUGGAAUUCCAUGUGUAGCGGUGAAAUGCGUAGAUAUAUGGAGGAACACCAGUGGCGAAGGCGACUCUCUGGUCUGUAACUGACGCUGAGGCUCGAAAGCGUGGGUAGCAAACAGG